rnacentral:rRNA from 1 species
GAUGAACGCUGGCGGCGUGCCUAAUACAUGCAAGUCGAGCGAACAGACGAGGAGCUUGCUCCUCUGACGUUAGCGGCGGACGGGUGAGUAACACGUGGAUAACCUACCUAUAAGACUGGGAUAACUUCGGGAAACCGGAGCUAAUACCGGAUAAUAUAUUGAACCGCAUGGUUCAAUAGUGAAAGACGGUUUUGCUGUCACUUAUAGAUGGAUCCGCGCCGCAUUAGCUAGUUGGUAAGGUAACGGCUUACCAAGGCAACGAUGCGUAGCCGACCUGAGAGGGUGAUCGGCCACACUGGAACUGAGACACGGUCCAGACUCCUACGGGAGGCAGCAGUAGGGAAUCUUCCGCAAUGGGCGAAAGCCUGACGGAGCAACGCCGCGUGAGUGAUGAAGGUCUUCGGAUCGUAAAACUCUGUUAUUAGGGAAGAACAAAUGUGUAAGUACCUAUGCACGUCUUGACGGUACCUAAUCAGAAAGCCACGGCUAACUCCGUG